rnacentral:rRNA from 1 species
GACGAACGCUGGCGGCGUGCUUAACACAUGCAAGUCGAACGGAAAGGCCCUGCUUUUGUGGGGUGCUCGAGUGGCGAACGGGUGAGUAACACGUGAGUAACCUGCCCUUGACUUUGGGAUAACUUCAGGAAACUGGGGCUAAUACCGGAUAGGAGCUCCUGCUGCAUGGUGGGGGUUGGAAAGUUUCGGCGGUUGGGGAUGGACUCGCGGCUUAUCAGCUUGUUGGUGGGGUAGUGGCUUACCAAGGCUUUGACGGGUAGCCGGCCUGGGAGGUUGACCGGCCACAUUGGGACUGAGAGACGGCCCAGACUCCUACGGGAGGCAGCAGUGGGGAAUAUUGCACAAUGGGCGGAAGCCUGAUGCAGCAACGCCGCGUGCGUGAUGACGGCCUUCGGGUUGUAAACCGCUUUCGCCUGUGACGAAGCGUGAGUGACGGUAAUGGGUAAAGAAGCACCGGCUAACUACGUG